CGGGGGGCAGCAGUCGAGGAUCUUCGGCAAUGGACGCAAGUCUGACCGAGCGAUGCCGCGUGGAUGAUGAAGGCCUUCGGGUUGUAAAAUCCUGUCGAGGGGGAGAAAAGCCGAAAGGUUUGAUCUAUCCCUGGAGGAAGGACGGGCUAAGUUCGUGCCAGCAGCCGCGGUAAGACGAACCGUCCGAACGUUGUUCGGAAUCACUGGGCUUAAAGGGCGCGUAGGCGGGCCACCAAGUCCGGGGUGAAAUCCUCCAGCUUAACUGGAGAACUGCCUCGGAUACUGGAGGUCUCGAGGAUGAUAGGGGCAUGCGGAACUGUAGGUGGAGCGGUGAAAUGCGUUGAUAUCUACAGGAACUCCGGUGGCGAAGGCGGCAUGCUGGAUCAUUUCUGACGCUGAGGCGCGAAAGCCAGGGGAGCGAACGGGAUUAGAUACCCGAGU
rnacentral:rRNA from 1 species